GAAUUAUAAUUACCACCGAGCGG
rnacentral:snRNA from 1 species